AACGAACGCUGGCGGCAUGCCUAACACAUGCAAGUCGAACGAGACCUUCGGGUCUAGUGGCGCACGGGUGCGUAACGCGUGGGAAUCUGCCCUUGGGUUCGGAAUAACAGUGAGAAAUUACUGCUAAUACCGGAUGAUGUCUUCGGACCAAAGAUUUAUCGCCCAGGGAUGAGCCCGCGUAGGAUUAGCUAGUUGGUGGGGUAAUGGCCUACCAAGGCGACGAUCCUUAGCUGGUCUGAGAGGAUGAUCAGCCACACUGGGACUGAGACACGGCCCAGACUCCUACGGGAGGCAGCAGUGGGGAAUAUUGGACAAUGGGCGCAAGCCUGAUCCAGCAAUGCCGCGUGAGUGAUGAAGGCCUUAGGGUUGUAAAGCUCUUUUACCCGGGAUGAUAAUGACAGUACCGGGAGAAUAAGCACCGGCUAACUCCGUG
rnacentral:rRNA from 1 species